UACGUAGGGUGCGAGCGUUGUCCGGAAUUAUUGGGCGUAAAGAGCUCGUAGGCGGUGUGUCACGUCGGCCGUGAAAACCUGCAGCUUAACUGUGGGCGUGCGGUCGAUACGGGCAUCACUGGAGUUCGGCAGGGGAGACUGGAAUUCCUGGUGUAGCGGUGAAAUGCGCAGAUAUCAGGAGGAACACCGGUGGCGAAGGCGGGUCUGUGGGCCGUAACUGACGCUGAGGAGCGAAAGCAUGGGGAGCGAACAGG
rnacentral:rRNA from 1 species